rnacentral:tRNA from 1 species
GGGGGUAUAGCUCAGUGGUGGAGCUCAUGCUUAGCAUGUAUGAGGUCCUGGGUUCAAUCCUCAGUACCUCCA